rnacentral:rRNA from 1 species
UACAGAGACUGCAAGCGUUAUUCGGAUUCACUGGGCGUAAAGGGUGCGCAGGUGGUUGUGUGUGUCAGGUGUGAAAUCCCGAGGCUUAACCUCGGGGCUGCGCCUGAAACUGCAUGACUAGAGCAUUGGAGAGGGUAGUGGAAUUCACGGUGUAGCAGUGAAAUGCGUAGAUAUCGUGAGGAACACCAGAGGCGAAGGCGACUACCUGGACAAUUGCUGACACUCAGGCACGAAAGCAUGGGGAGCAAAAGGG